GUCACCGUAGUCUAGGCGGUUAGGAUACGUGGCUUUCACCCACGCGACCCGGGUUCGAGUCCCGGCGGUGACA
rfam:Volvox carteri f. nagariensis unplaced genomic scaffold VOLCAscaffold_43, whole genome shotgun sequence.